AGUGAGCGCUGGCGGCGUGCCUAACACAUGCAAGUCGAACGAUGAUUGAGAGCUUGCUCUCAUGAUUAGUGGCGCACGGGUGAGUAUACCAUAGAUAAUGUACCUCUUAGUUCGGGAUAGCCACUGGAAACGGUGAUUAAUACCGGAUACUCCUUCUUUUCUCAAGGCAAGUCGGGAAAGUUUUUUCGCUAAGAGAUCAGUCUAUGUCCUAUCAGCUAGUUGGUGAGGUAAUGGCUCACCAAGGCAAUGACGGGUAUCUGGUUUGAGAGGAUGAUCAGACACACUGGAACUGAGGCACGGUCCAGACUCCUACGGGAGGCAGCAGUGAGGAAUAUUGCACAAUGGAGGAAACUCUGAUGCAGCAACGCCGCGUGGAGGAUGACGCAUUUCGGUGUGUAAACUCCUUUUAAGAGGGAAGAUAAUGACGGUACCUCUUGAAUAAGCACCGGCUAACUCCGUGCCAGCCGCCGCGGUAA
rnacentral:rRNA from 1 species